rnacentral:lncRNA from 1 species
UCCACCCCAGUGAGGAAGGACAAGCUUGGGGGAGAUCCUCUCCCCCACCAAGGUAAGUAUUCUAUCCUAUUUAUUUCCAUGCAUUUUAUCAUUCUUGCUCUAAAAAAAAUAGCAUUUCCCUUGAGCAUAUAUGCUUCAUGUAUGUCUAUAUCCCUCAUGGAAAUGAUGACUAGUUGCUUGUUAAUGUUUCUCUAGUACCUAGUAUACAACUUAGUAUUUCUCCAAGUAUGGAUCACUUAGCUCACUUAAACUGCCAUGAACCUGAAAACUUUGUGGGUUGCAAGUGCUAGAACUAAGUCUAAGUUGUUGUGGGACAUGAGAUAGUGAGACAAGAGCUGCUAUAAUAUUAUUCUAAGCAUGCAUGAUUAUCAGAGAUUUAUUCUUAAAAUGAUCAAACCCUUAAUUGUUCCUCAAUGGUGAUGAAUUCCUACCACAGCUAUAUCUACUUUACAUGAUUGCAACCUUUCCACAUAAGCUAUUUGCUUUGUGUUGAGUGUCGUCAAGUCUUGUUGACCCCUGUUAAGAGACUUUUCAUGCUCCUAAGAUCAAGAUCACGUACACACCACAUAUAUAUAUGCUGCUUCUACACUGGAAGUACGCAACCACAUGUAUUUCGCAUCCACUAAAUAGGUUGCUCCAUACUCUAAAUGUUAGAAUAUCUCUCUCUAAGCAUUAUUUGGUAAAUGAGACAUCAAAAGCCUAGGCAAAAUGAAAUAAAAAGAUGGACAUGUGCAAGUCCACAAAAAAAAAAUGAGCACAUAAAGCUCGAAGAAAAAGAAAAUGCUAGCCAUGUCUCAAUAUACAAGUAGAGAGAGUGUAGCAAAUAAAGGAGCAACCUAGUCCACCAUAUAUCACACUUGCACAUCUUGAUCUGGGAGUAUGACACUUCUCUUCAAGGAUCCGAGCUUUGAUUUCGCAACACAUGCAAAGUAAGUAUGCUAUCUCCUUUCAUCCCUACCUUAAGCUCCACAUAAGCCUUUUAGAAAUAGGAUGAAAUAGAGAAGGCAACUCUAUCAUAUGCCUUGGUGAGGAAUUAUACACCAUUUGAGUGACAUGAGAGAACCAUAUGAGGAACAUUUAAGUUUUCUUUUGAAAAUAUCACAAAACCUCUGAUAUGAAACUUGCUAAGAAUGAGAAAGUUAGUGCUCAAGUCAAACUGUUCUGUCUUUCAACCACCUAAGACAAAGGAAAAGCCAUAAGCCCCAUAAGGGACUAAGGUAAUAUGGGUAAGUUUACAUAGCUAAAUUUUUCAUGCAAAGAGAAGAACUUUGUUGUACACAUGGUACUCUUGAAAUAUGAACAUAGUAACAAUACCUGAUCCACCGAGGCUAAGUUUGAUUGUUUGCUCGGGACGAGCAAAGGUUAAGCUUGGGGGAUCUUGUUGACGGUGGAUAUACCAUAGAAAUCCAC